UACGGAGGAUCCAAGCGUUAUCCGGAUUUAUUGGGUUUAAAGGGUGCGUAGGCGGAUUUGUAAGUCAGUGGUGAAAUCCUGCAGCUUAACUGUAGAACUGCCAUUGAUACUGCUGAUCUUGAGUACAGUUGAGGUAGGCGGAAUGUGUAGUGUAGCGGUGAAAUGCUUAGAUAUUACACAGAACACCGAUUGCGAAGGCAGCUUGCCAAACUGUCACUGACGCUGAUGCACGAAAGCGUGGGGAUCGAACAGG
rnacentral:rRNA from 1 species